rnacentral:rRNA from 1 species
GGGACACGUGGUAUCCUGUCUGAAUAUGGGGGGACCAUCCUCCAAGGCUAAAUACUCCUGACUGACCGAUAGUGAACCAGUACCGUGAGGGAAAGGCGAAAAGAACCCCGGCGAGGGGAGUGAAAAAGAACCUGAAACCGUGUACGUACAAGCAGUGGGAGCACAGAGCAAUCUGUGUGACUGCGUACCUUUUGUAUAAUGGGUCAGCGACUUAUAUUCUGUAGCAAGGUUAACCGAAUAGGGGAGCCGAAGGGAAACCGAGUCUUAACUGGGCGUUAAGUUGCAGGGUAUAGACCCGAAACCCGGUGAUCUAGCCAUGGGCAGGUUGAAGGUUGGGUAACACUAACUGGAGGACCGAACCGACUAAUGUUGAAAAAUUAGCGGAUGACUUGUGGCUGGGGGUGAAAGGCCAAUCAAACCGGGAGAUAGCUGGUUCUCCCCGAAAGCUAUUUAGGUAGCGCCUCGUGAAUUCAUCUCCGGGGGUAGAGCACUGUUUCGGCAAGGGGGUCAUCCCGACUUACCAACCCGAUGCAAACUGCGAAUACCGGAGAAUGUUAUCACGGGAGACACACGGCGGGUGCUAACGUCCGUCGUGAAGAGGGAAACAACCCAGACCGCCAGCUAAGGUCCCAAAGUCAUGGUUAAGUGGGAAACGAUGUGGGAAGGCCCAGACAGCCAGGAUGUUGGCUUAGAAGCAGCCAUCAUUUAAAGAAAGCGUAAUAGCUCACUGGUCGAGUCGGCCUGCGCGGAAGAUGUAACGGGGCUAAACCAUGCACCGAAGCUGCGGCAGCGACACUAUGUGUUGUUGGGUAGGGGAGCGUUCUGUAAGCCUGUGAAGGUGUACUGUGAGGUAUGCUGGAGGUAUCAGAAGUGCGAAUGCUGACAUAAGUAACGAUAAAGCGGGUGAAAAGCCCGCUCGCCGGAAGACCAAGGGUUCCUGUCCAACGUUAAUCGGGGCAGGGUGAGUCGACCCCUAAGGCGAGGCCGAAAGGCGUAGUCGAUGGGAAACAGGUUAAUAUUCCUGUACUUGGUGUUACUGCGAAGGGGGGACGGAGAAGGCUAUGUUGGCCGGGCGACGGUUGUCCCGGUUUAAGCGUGUAGGCUGGUUUUCCAGGCAAAUCCGGAAAAUCAAGGCUGAGGCGUGAUGACGAGGCACUACGGUGCUGAAGCAACAAAUGCCCUGCUUCCAGGAAAAGCCUCUAAGCAUCAGGUAACAUCAAAUCGUACCCCAAACCGACACAGGUGGUCAGGUAGAGAAUACCAAGGCGCUUGAGAGAACUCGGGUGAAGGAACUAGGCAAAAUGGUGCCGUAACUUCGGGAGAAGGCACGCUGAUAUGUAGGUGAAGUCCCUCGCGGAUGGAGCUGAAAUCAGUCGAAGAUACCAGCUGGCUGCAACUGUUUAUUAAAAACACAGCACUGUGCAAACACGAAAGUGGACGUAUACGGUGUGACGCCUGCCCGGUGCCGGAAGGUUAAUUGAUGGGGUCAGCGCAAGCGAAGCUCUUGAUCGAAGCCCCGGUAAACGGCGGCCGUAACUAUAACGGUCCUAAGGUAGCGAAAUUCCUUGUCGGGUAAGUUCCGACCUGCACGAAUGGCGUAAUGAUGGCCAGGCUGUCUCCACCCGAGACUCAGUGAAAUUGAACUCGCUGUGAAGAUGCAGUGUACCCGCGGCAAGACGGAAAGACCCCGUGAACCUUUACUAUAGCUUGACACUGAACAUUGAGCCUUGAUGUGUAGGAUAGGUGGGAGGCUUUGAAGUGUGGACGCCAGUCUGCAUGGAGCCGACCUUGAAAUACCACCCUUUAAUGUUUGAUGUUCUAACGUUGACCCGUAAUCCGGGUUGCGGACAGUGUCUGGUGGGUAGUUUGACUGGGGCGGUCUCCUCCUAAAGAGUAACGGAGGAGCACGAAGGUUGGCUAAUCCUGGUCGGACAUCAGGAGGUUAGUGCAAUGGCAUAAGCCAGCUUGACUGCGAGCGUGACGGCGCGAGCAGGUGCGAAAGCAGGUCAUAGUGAUCCGGUGGUUCUGAAUGGAAGGGCCAUCGCUCAACGGAUAAAAGGUACUCCGGGGAUAACAGGCUGAUACCGCCCAAGAGUUCAUAUCGACGGCGGUGUUUGGCACCUCGAUGUCGGCUCAUCACAUCCUGGGGCUGAAGUAGGUCCCAAGGGUAUGGCUGUUCGCCAUUUAAAGUGGUACGCGAGCUGGGUUUAGAACGUCGUGAGACAGUUCGGUCCCUAUCUGCCGUGGGCGCUGGAGAACUGAGGGGGGCUGCUCCUAGUACGAGAGGACCGGAGUGGACGCAUCACUGGUGUUCGGGUUGUCAUGCCAAUGGCACUGCCCGGUAGCUAAAUGCGGAAGAGAUAAGUGCUGAAAGCAUCUAAGCACGAAACUUGCCCCGAGAUGAGUUCUCCCUGACCCUUUAAGGGUCCUGAAGGAACGUUGAAGACGACGACGUUGAUAGGCCGGGUGUGUAAGCGCAGCGAUGCGUUGAGCUAACCGGUACUAAUGAACCGUGAGGCUUAACCUUACAACGCCGAAG